UUCUGCUCACCUGCCACUCCCCGUGCCUCACUGUCAAGUCCUGUUCCUCUUGAACACUAACAUACGUAGUGCAUUCUCUUGUUUCGGUUUUUGUUAUCUUCCCCUGCAACCCCAGAUAUCACCACAGAAAAGGCUGGUGGUGGACAGAAUCACAGGUGCCUUUGGUUCAGGCAGAUUUCUCCACUGCGAAAGGAAAGAGACAAGGUUGCAGCCCCAUCUUUAGGGAAGGCAGACAAAGAAAUCAAAACUACGGAAACCAGGCUCUCCAGACAGCAGGCAAGACUAAAGAGUAGGAGCUGGGAGAUACUACAGACAAAUCAGAAUGGCCAGCUGCAUCAGAGGACACGGAUCCAAGGACUGCAGUGGUCCCAGCGGGGAGAACAGGAGCAGGAAUGGCUGACACACAGUAAUGUCUGCUAAUGACCAGAAUUAAUGGAGACAUAAAAUACUUCUAUGAAAAAAUAACAACUGAAGAACUUCAGGAUCAAAAAUCCAGCACUACAAAAAGCUCUGAAAAAUAGUGAACAAAGAGAAAAGGAACUCCACAAUACCAAGAUUACCAAGAAUACCAAUAGAGAGAAGCUGCUGGGAAGAGGAAGCAAUGAGACAUGGAGGAAAGACAGGAAAAAAACAACAGGAACAUUAAAUGACAAAGAAAAGCCAACAUAUGUAAACUAUACUAUGAUGUAAUAUAAAUAAUAUAAUAGAUCUCAAUUCACCAAUAAAAAGAAAUAGACUAGCAAAAUGGAUGAAGAAGAAAUGUGUGAAAAUAUGCUAUAUUCAAGUAAUACAUCUAACUCAAAAAGAAAUUCAUAGACUGAAAAUCAAAGUAUGAAAGACAACACUCUAUGUGACAAGAAGCCAGAAAAAAGCAGAGAUAGCUAACCUGUUUGCAGAUAAAAUGAACUGCAAGACAAGACUAAGCAAAAGAGACUAAAAAGAUCACUACAUAUUUGUUAAGGGAAAACUCUUAAGAAACAUAACAAUCAUCAGUAUAUAUACAACAAAUAGCGGAGUACUCACCUAUAUUAAGAAUAUUAACACACAUGAAAAAUCAAAUAAACACUAACAUAAUUGUUUUGGGAACCUUAAUACUUCAUUGUCAUCAUAGAUAGAUCAACUAGACAAAAAAUUAGCAACCAAAUAUCAGAACUGAUCCAAACCCAUGAAUAAACCAUCUUAAUAAACGUCUAUAGAGUAUUCCACCUCACAAAAUCAGAACACACAUUCUUCUCAGUAUCACAUGGAACAUUCUCCAAAAUAGACCAUACACCAGAUCAUAGAGUAUGCUUAAGUAAAUGCAAAAAUAUUGAAAUUAUUUCAUGCACAGUAUCAAGCCAUACUGCAAAGAAAUUGCAAAUCAGUGGCAAAAGAAACCACAAAAAGUCCAUAAAUACAUGAAAAUUAAAUAACGCGCUACUGAACAAUCAUUGGGACAGAUAAACUAAAGAAGAAACUGAACAAUGUCUACAACUAAAUGACAAUGCCAAGAUAACAUGCUAAAACAUAUGGGAUGUGAUAAAAGCAGUGCUAAGACAGAAAAAUUAAUAAUGGUGAAUUCUCACAGCUGCAAAACAGAAUCUGCUCAAAUAAACACCUAAUGUUGAACCUCAGACUUCUAGGAAAAGAAGAACAAAUCAAGCCCAACAUUCACAUAAGGGAGGAAAUUGUACAGCUCUGAGCAGAAAUUAAUGCAAUUGAGGCUAAGAAAAUAAUACACAAAAUAAAUUUAUCAGAGUUGAUUCUUUAAAAGAUUAAAUAAAAUUAACAAACCUUUAGGCAAUUUUAUCCAAAAAAGGAAAGGAAAGAGUCAGAUAAUUGCAAUUAUGAAUGAAAAAGGACAAAAUCUCAAUGUAUCCUGUGUAAAUCCAGAAGAUCAUUAAUACCUAUGUUAAGGAUCCUCAAUAAGAUAGAAAAUGAUGAAGAAAUGGUGUCUUGGUUACUUUUUACUGGUUGCUGAGACAAAAUACCUAAAGCCAAAGUUGGGAAAGGAAAGGUUUAUUUCUUACAGUUUUUGGAGGUUUCAGUCCAUGCUAAGUUGGCUCUAAGGCAGGGUGGCAUGGCUGGGCCACAGUUUGUGGCAGCUGCAAACAGCAAGCAGAAACUGGCAAAACAACAAGACACGCCUUUUUCCUGCCAUUACAUCACAUCCUGGCUCCACCCCUAUGUGAAUGCAGCACUGACACCAUCAAUCCAAGGCCAGACAAUGACCAAUCACAAAUGCAUAAGGCAAACACAUGAGGCCUGGGCGUCACCACAUAAACCAUGACAUUCCACCCCUGGCUCCCAGAACUCAUGUACAUCUUUUAUACAGAGGACAUUUAGUCCAUCUCCAAAAGUUGCCAACGUCCUAACAGUUUUAGCAUUACUGAGAAGUCCAAGUCCCAAGUCUCCUCCAAGAUAGAUGGCAAAUUCUACUGUAACCCCCUGUAUAAAUGAAACAAGGUUAAACAUUUCUGAAAUGCAAAGACACAAGACAAACAUUAGCAUCCCGAAAGUUACAAAUAGGGGAAUAUAAAGCAUUGGAAACAAAGCAAGUCCAAUAUCCAGCAGGACAAACACUAAGUCCUAGAGUUCCAUGUGCUCAGCAUCUGAAGCAAUCUGGUUGCAAGCUCUAGAAGGCUUGGAUGAUUUCACCCCCACAGCACUUUUAGAGAUAUCAGCUCCCACAGUUUCUCUCUUAAACCCUCUCUGCUCCCUUCUUGUAGCUUUCCUUGGAUGAUCCACAUUCCUGGCUUUUCCACACUUCUGGAGUCUCCACUGCACCUUUGGCCUCACCUUUGCAUCUUUACAAAUUGCCCUCUCAGGGGCACACUGCUUGGCCUCCCAGACCCUUUGCAAUCGAGGUGGAAGCCAUCUUAUCCUCAGAAUUUGUGCAUUUUCCUUGCACCUAAAAUCAGCACCAUGUGGAUGUCACCAAGGUUUGUUGCCAGCUGGAGCAGUAGCCAGGCUUUUCUUUCCCUUGACUAUAGGGGUUGAUUGCCUGGAUCAUUGGGCUCUGUGAACCUGAUUGUGAAGUAAAGCUUCUCUAUGUUGCCACCAUUCUGGAACCUCAUGUGGCCUCCAUUGCCAUUCUGGAGCAUGGUGCUCUGCAGCUUUCUACUCUGAGCAAAUUCUUUCACUUUUGCAGUUUUGAAGCUGCUUAGCGUGGGGAACCACUGUUUCCUGGGAUUCUCCAGGGUCAUCUUUCUUAUCUCUUUGUUUCUCCUAAGGAAUCAAAGUCUCAACCCUGUCCUUACAAUCUACAGCUUUUCCUGGAGUCUUCCUUCUGGUCAAAUUCUCAGUAUUGUAAAUUACCUGGUGUGGUCUUUGCCCUUGAUUUGCAACAUAAACCUGGCUAACCCCAACAAUAGCCACGCCACAGCCUCAACAUUCAACUGCUUUGAAAUUUCCUUUUCCAGAUUAAUCAGUCCAUUGCCCUUUGUUUCAGUCUCAGGCAAAGUCUCUGGGCAUGAGCAAAAUGCAGACAAACUUUUUGCUAAGCCCUAACACAUCACAGGGAGUCCAAUAACCAAUGCAGUCCUUCUUCCCAGCCGAAACUUCCCAAGCCUGAUCUUUACCAUGAAGCUUUCUAUCAGAGUUCUGAUCUCCUGAGCUCUGACCAGAAUCUCCUCUACAGAACAGUCUAAGCUGCUCCAGAUCUAUGCAUCCAGGCACAUGCCUGAAGCUUUCCAAUAUCUGCCCACAAGCCAUUUCUAAAGCCCCUCAAAAGCAUAGUCAGGUAUAGUCACAGCAACAGUGCCACUCCUCAGUACCAAGUUCUGCCUUAGUUACUUUAACUUGUUCCUGAGACAAAAUACCUGAAGCUAAAGUUGGGAAAGGAAAGGUUUAUUUCUUACAGUUUUGGAGGUUUCAGUCCACACUCAGUUGGCUCCAAUGCAGGGUGGCAUGGCUGGGCCAUAGUUCAUGGUGGCUACAAACAGCAAGGCACAACCUGGGAAAAGAGCAAGACACGCCUUCUUCCUGCCAUUACAUCACCUCCUGGCUCCACCCCUAUGUGGGUGGAGCACUGACACCAUCAGUCCAAGUGCUAGACAAUGACCAAUCACAAAUGCACAAUGCAAACACAUGAGGCCUGGGGGCCACCCACAUAAACCAUGACAAAUGGAUAAGUCCUUGGAAUCAUAAUUACCAAGUUGAAACAAGAAGAUAUAGAAUCUGGGGAACUGGCUAUCAGCAGAGUGAGAUCCUGCUCAACAUCCCAAGACCCAAGAGAGUUUAAGAUCAUCAAUCCCAGUGGUCAAGGCUAUGUCCAGCUUCCAGCCACACUAGACUGGGAUCUGCAGGUUUCAGGCCUGCCUAGGAUAUGCCCAGUGACUAUCUUUCAAUCUGGGUAACGGGGCUGCCAGAGGAGGGAACUGUGCUGCGGGAGUAGGUCAGUACCUACACACCAUCGCAAGCUCCAGGAGAGUUUAAGAUCAUCACACCCAGUGGUCAAGGACUUGCCAAGAUUCCAGCCUCAUUAGACAGGGCUCUGCAGAUUUCAGGCCUGCCUGGGCCACACCCAGUGACCUUUCAAUCCAGGGAACUGUGCUGCUGGCAGGGGUGAGUUCCUGCUCACCAUCCUGAGCCCCUGGAGUGUUUAAGAGCAUCACUCCCAGUGGUCAAGGAUCUGCCCAGCUUCCAGCCACACUACACUAGGCUUGGGAGGUUUUGCAGCCUGAUUAAAUUACACCCAGCGACCUUCUUCAAUCAGGGUAGUUGAAGGCAUGUGAAGUGAGUUCCAACCCAUUGGUCCUCGCCUGGGGAGUGCUUUGGACCAUCAUCCACAGUGGUUAGCUGCUUGUCCAGCUUCCUGGAACACUAGACGUGACAUGGGAGGUCCUGUAGGCCUGACUGGACCACGCUCAGCAACCUCCUUUCAGUCCCAGGAGACGAGGGCAUAGAAGACGAUUUCCAACAUGCCCAGGGGAAGCCUUGGAACAACACUUAGAAUACAGAAAUAGCAAAAGACCAAAAUGCAAUCUCAAACCUGUAGCCCAUCCCAAGAAAGCCUAGGAGCCAUGCACAUAGAAGUAAAUAUAUGUCAUACACCUGAAACACCUGAAAUAAUAGCAACGGAAAUAAAGAAGCAACUCUGGGAAGCUUUAAAGGAAUUCAAACUAGAAUAAUCUCCCAGGUAAAAGAAGAAAUGAUAAAAGUAAUGAAAGAGAUGAUGAAUGAAAGUAAUGAAAAAAUAAUGAAAGAGAUCUAAAGAAGAUACAGUUAAAAAUUAGAGGAACAAAACAAAAGGAUAGAAUCCCUGGGUAAACAAUAUAAGAAACAAAUAGAAUACAUGAAGCAGAUUCAAAGAAAUAUGCAGGAAAUCAAAAAUUCUACUGAGAGUUGUCAAAACUGCCACAAUGAAAGUAAGAUAGAAUUUCAGAACUCAAAGACAAGAUUGCAGUUAGUGAAUAGAAAAGGAAAGAUCUUUUAAAAAUAACAAGGAGUCAGGAAAUAACAAUUUAACAGCUGCAAGAUGAUGCAAAGAAAAAAACAUAAGAUUGAGAGGGAUAAAUGAAAAAGAAAGGGACAACACAAAUGACAUCAAGAGACUAUUUACAGAAGUAAUAGCUGAAAAUUUCCCAAACAUGAGAAUGUCGAAACUGACAUUAGGAUCAGUGAAGCAUAUAGAACUCCAAAUAGCCAUAACCAAAAUAAAACUACAUCCAGACAUAUAAUAGUUACCAUCCUAGAAAUUCAACACAAUGGCAGAAUAUUAAAAUCAGUUAGAGAGAAAAGACAGAUGACCUAUAAGGAAAACAUAUCAGAAUCAUAGCAGACUUCUCAGAACAAUGAAGUCAAGAAGAACAUGGAGUGAAGUAUUUCAGAUCCUAAAGGAAAAUGAUUUCCAUCCUAGACUAAUGUACCCUGCAAAAAUGUCCUUCAAAAUUGAUGGAGAAAUAAGAUACUCCCAUGACAAAGAACAGCUGAAGAACUUCAUGAUCACCAAGCCAACCCUGCAAAGAAUACUAAAAAUCAGUUUAGAUACAAAAGGAACAAAACCAUUAAGCAAGGCAGACAAACAGAAUGGAAAGAUAAAGAUGCAACAGCAGAAAGAUAACAUAUCAACAAUAAACCAAUAUAUAAAAGUUAUAACCAUUUAUGUAAAUGGUCUCAAUGCAUCAAUUAAAAGAAACAGACUGGCAGAAUGGCUUAAGAAACAACAUCUAACCAUAUGUUGUCUACAAAAACCCAUCUAAUACAAAAGGAAACUCACAGACCUAAAGUCAAAGGAUGGAAAGCAAUAGUUCAUGAAACAGGAAUCGAAAAAAAGCAGCAGUAGAUACUCUAUUUGCAGACAAUAUGAACCUCACACCAAGAAUGUUCCUAAGAGAUUAAGAAGGUCACUGCAUACUGGUUAGGGGAAAACUUCAAGAAGAAGAGAUAAUAAUCUUAUAUAUGCACCAAAUUCUAGAGCACCCAGUUAUACAAAGCAAGUAUUAAUAGAAAUGAAAAAUCAAAUUAGCAACAAUACAAUUAUAACAGCAGACCUUAACAUACCAUUGACACCAAGGGACAUAUCAACCAAACAGAAAAUAAGCAAAGAAAUAACAGAACUGAAUUACACCUGUGAACAAAUGAACUUGAUAUACAUAUACAGAGUGUUCCAUCCAAAAUUAGGAAUAUACAUUCUACUCAGCAGUACAUGGGACAUUCUCUAAAACAGACCAUAUACUAGCCACAGAACAUAUUUAAAUAAAUGUAAAGAGUUGAAAUUGUCCCAAGCAUGCUAUCAGAUCAUAGUGCCAUGAAACUAGAAAUUAAUGAUAAAAGAAACUGAAAAAAAAUCCCACAAACACAUGGAAAUUGAAUAAUACACUCUUGAGCAGUCAGUGGCUCACAGGAGAAAUUAAAGAAGAAAUUAAACAAUACCUACAAGCAAACUAAAAUACAAAUACAACUUACCAGAAUCUGUGGGAUGCAAUGAAAGCAGUCCUCAGAAGAAAAUUGAGUACACUGAGUUCCCACAUCAGGAAAUCAGAACAAAUACAAAUCAACAGCCUGAUGCUACAUCUCAAACAUCUAGAAAAAGAAGAGCAAGUCAAGCCCAAUGCCAAAAGAAGGGAGGAAAUUAUAAAAAUCAGACCAGAAAUUAAUGCAAUAGAGACUAAAAAAAUAACCCAGAGAAUCAAUGAAUCAAAGAGCUGGUUCUUUCAAAGAAUAAAUAAAAUUGAUAAGCCCCUAGUCAACCUUAUUUAAAAAAGGAAAGAAACAGCUCAAAGUCAUACAAUAAGGAAUGAAAAAGGUGAAAUCAGUACAGACUCUUUGGAAAUACAGAAGAUCAUCAGCACCUAUUUCAAAACCUCUACUCUCCUAAGUCUGAUAACACAGAAGAGAUGGAAAGAUUCCUAGAAACAUAUGAACUACCAAAGCUGGGUCAAGAAGAUGUAAAACUGCUGAAUAAUCCACAUUCUAUUUAUGAUAUUGAAAAUGUGAUUAAGUCUUUACCUACAAAAAAGAGCCCAGACCCAGAUGGAUUCACUGAGGAAUUCUACAAGAAAUACAAAGAAGACUUACUGCCAGCACUCCUCAAACUCUUCAAUGAAAUGGAAAGGGAACAAUCCUUCCUAAGUCAUUCCUGGAAGCAAAUAUUACUCUAGUACCAAAACCUGAGAAAGACACAACUAAAAAACUACAGGCCAAUCUCUCUAAUGAACACAGAUGCAAAACUCCUCAAUAAAAUAUUAGCAAACAGGAUGCAGCAAAUAAUCAAGAAGAUUAUACACCACGACCAUGUGGAAUUCAUGCCAGGCUAAAGGAUGGUUCAACAUAUGAAAAGCAAUAAGUGUAAUCCACCAUAUCAAUAAAGCCAAAAGUAAAAAUCACAUGACGAUUUGUAUAGAUGCAGAAAAAGCUUUCAAUAAGGUUCAGCACUCAUUCAUGAUAAGAAACUUACAGAAAAUUGGAAUAGUUGGUCUUUACCUCAGUAUGAUGAAGGCCAUCUACAACAAACCAACAGCCAGCAUCAUAUUAAAUGGUCAAAAACUGAAUGCCUUCACCUUAAAAUCAGGCACAAGUAAAGGAUGUCGCUUAUCACCACUCCUAUGCAACAAAGUACUAGAAAUACUAGCAAGAGCAAUUAAGCAAGUGAGAGAAAUAAAAGGGGUAGAGAUAGGAAAAGAGCAAGUUAAGUCAUCAUUAUUUGCAGAUGGCAUGAUAUUCUACAUAGAAGACCCUCAAACUCCAUUGAAAGACUCCUAGAUAUAAUAAAUAAAUUCAGCAAUGUAGCUGGAUACAAAAUCAAUACUCAAAAAUCAAUAACAUUUCAUACACUAACAACAAAAUCACUGAGAUAGAAACAAGAGAAGCCACAACCAUCACACUAGCAUCCAAAAACAUGAAAUACUUAGGAAUUAAUCUCACAAAAGGAGUAAAAGAUCUGUACAGGUAAAAUUAUAAUACUGUGAAAAAGGAAAUUUAAGAGGAUCUCAGAAAAUGGAAAGAUAUCCUUGUUUUUGGAUAAGGAAAAUAAAUACUUUGAAAAUGGCCAUUCUCCCAAAACUGCUAUACAGAUUCAAUGCAAUCCAAUGAAAAUACCAUCAACAUACCUCAUAGAUCUGGAGAAAUCACUCCUCAAAUUUAUCUGGACCCAGAAGAGACCUAGAAUAACAAAGACAAUUCUAAGCAGCAAAGGCAAGGCAGGAGGCAUCACAAUCCCUGACUUGAAGUUAUACUACAAAGCAGCUGUAGUAAAAUCAACAUGGUACUGGAAUAAAAACAGAUCUGAAGGGGUUGGGGGUUUAACUCAGCGGCAUAAGCGCCUGCCUUGAAAGCAGGCAGUCAUGAGUUCGAUCUCUGGUACCAAUAAAAAGGAAAAAGACAAAAAAAAA